UACACCAUUAAUAAGCUGGUGAAAGAAACCUGAUUAUAUUUUGUUUUUAACUUAAACUAGAGUAUGCAUUUUUCAAUCUUGUUAACCUCUCAUUUAUUGUCUUUUUCUAUAUGACACCUAGUUAUUUCGAUCUAAGCAUAAACUAUUAUAAGUAACAGAUAAGUUACACUUUUUUCGUCAGAUUGCCAUUUAAUAUUUGUGAUACAAAUUUGCAUGAUAUAAUUAACGAAUUUUUAAGUAACCUGGUUAUAUAAAUAAUUUUUAAUGUGUUCAUGCAUGAAAUUUAAAGUACACAUCGAAACACUACAAAAAAUGGGUCUAAUUGUGAGGUUUAUUUGUGGGAGUUAUUUUAACCUCUACAAAUUAUAUUAAAUACGGAGGUUAAAUUAAUCGUCGCUAAAAAUUUUAAAUUUGUGGAGGUUUUAACCCCCGCUAUCCACUUAAAAUAGACCAUAGCUAAAAAAUUUAGAUUUGCGGAGGUUUUAACCCCUGCUAUCCUUUUAAAAAUAUACCGCGAACCAAAUUUCAUUUCUCCCUAUUUUUUUAACUGGCCAAAUAUUUUUUCCCCAUUCUCUUACCCAAAAACCCUACAAUGGUUUAACAUAUGCUCGAUUGUUCAGACUCAAAUCUCGAUUUCUGCCCAAAUCUUAAAUUUGGGCAUAAGUCUGCUGAUUACAGAUUAUCGAGACCCAUAUUAAGUCAAAUUUCUACUGAUAUCUACUCAAAAUCAAUUUUGUGCUGAUUUUUCCAAAUUUCUCUCCUACUCCUCCAAAAUUCACAGCCUCCAAAUUGCAAUCCUCCGCCGUCUUUCACUCAUUUUCUAGUUCUCACCGAAAAAUCUUCAAAGUGGCUAUUGUGAUACCCAAUCUUGAUGAGCUCCUAUUAGACACACCAACACAUGUAUGGCGGAAUCUAUCUUGACUCAGACAUCAUAGUGUUGAAUUCAUUGUCUUCACUUAAUAAUACUGUUGCUUUUGAGGAUGACUUACAUCGGAAAAAAUUGAACGGUGUUGUAAUGGAUUUUAGAAAGUACAGGUACACGCAACUCAAUCUGUGCGUUUUGUAUCAUUUUUAAGUGAAUUGUUCUAGUUCUGGUGUACUUGGACCUUGCAAUACCCACCUUUUCUCUGGUAAUUUUGGGAGUAUCUCUAUAUCUAAAAUUGAGCUUAUUUAGGAGGAAAUAGGGAUCAUGAUGAUAAAGUAAAUAAGGGAAGGACACUUUUUGUGGAUAAAACUACAGAUUCUUUUAGUAAUAUAAAGUUUGAUGCAACUUUUGUAGAUUGGUCGAGGUUCAUGCAAGCUAACCAAGAUGCCCCUAUUUUUAGAAAAAUGAUAAGGUUGCCCGUUGCAUCCUAAAAUGCUACUUGAAGAUUCAAUUUAGAACAAUAAACUCGAAUUGUACUACCUGUUAAUCUACCAAAAAUGUUUGCUAACGUUUAUAAGUAGCCUCUUCUGUAUAAAAGUAUUCACCAUCUUGUAUGUAUUUGCAGUCCUUUUAUAUUAGAGUGUUUGAAGGAGUUUUACGCAUCUUAUGAUGACUCACAAUUGAGAUGGAAUGGAGCUGAUCUUUUGACAAGAGUUGCUAGUAACUUUUCUAUCAAUGAUAAUCUAUACGGUAGAAAGAUGGAGAUCAUUUUUCAACCCUCUUUCAUUUUCUUCCCUAUCCUAUUUUUAGGCGAAUGAUUUGUAAGAUGUUUAACAAAAUUUUGCUGAACCUUUUGUUUCUACUGUUGAAUAGCUACCAGAAGUAAAUUAUACAAAACAAAGUUUUCACAUAAUAUUCUCCUAGGAAAUGACUGUUCCAAUAUACUUCUCAUUGACUUGGAUAUAUUUCUCUUUCUUUGUAUGCAGAGAAUGACCAGAGUAUCUUUGAUGCCGUUCUUUGAGGUCAUCUUGAUUUUUUUUCUAAUCCUUGGCCUUCAGUAUCGAGUAGUGCUAAAGAUCUUGUUAAGAAAAUGCAAUGGUCUGAUCCUAGAGAAAGGAUUUUUGUAGUUGAAGUCCUAAAUAAGAUUCAGCUUAAUCAAGAUCUUGUCAUGUUCACAACAGAAUGUUUUUCUUAUAUUGCCUCUAUUUGGUGUGUUCUUUUUCAUAUAUAAUUAAGAGUAUUAUUUUUAUUUGUACAGCAUCCAGAAUUCCUUUAGCUAAGUAAUUAGUCUAGAUAAAGUCCAAAGAUUAUCCCAAUCAGCUAUAGUAGCUAUAGUUCGUAACCCAAAGAUAGUACACAUUUAUAUCUCAAACAUGGACUUUCUCUGUGGUGUUCCACCAUUUUAUGGAGCUAACUUCAUUUGAUAUCUCUAGAAUUUUAGCAUUAGAAUUGCAUAAAGCUUCUUCUUCAUUAUUUAUUUUCUUUUUCAUUUCAGCACAGAUAGCACUAUGGUGGAUUCUUGCAUGUGCCAUGACAUCUUUUUUGUUGCCCUAUGUUAAAUAUGAAGAAGAAAUUGAAAGUUUAUCGUGCUAAAGCAUAAACUUGUUAUUUAUAAUAAAGACUGAAAAUUUAUCGAUUGAUUUUUAUAGUUUGCAUUUUUAUGUAGCCAAGUGAUGGGGCUGGUGGACCCAUUUCACCCAUAGAUGCAAGGAGAUCACGUGGUGAUAAUGAUCCUCAUGAUAUUCUUUGAUUUCAUUGCAUUUGUCUUGGAUAUUCAAUUAUAAUGAUGUAAUUGUGUGAUUGGAAUGAAUCUUAGAAUAUUGAAGGUUUUGUGUUUAAAUUUGAUUUUGUAGUUUGAAGAUACUAGUUAAUGUUGAAAAUUUGGAGUUUGAAGAUGUUAAUGUUGAAAAUUUAAUUUUGAAGU